rnacentral:rRNA from 1 species
GAUGAACGUUGGCGGCGUGCCUAAUACAUGCAAGUCGAACGAAGACUGUAGUAAUACUGUCUUAGUGGCGAACGGGUGAGUAACGCGUGGGUGACCUGCCCCGAAGUGUGGGAUAACAGUCCGAAAGGAUUGCUAAUACUGCAUAAUAUCCAAGAGAUUAGAUGCUUUUGGAUUAAAGGAGUAAUUCGCUUCGGGAGGGGCCCGCGUCCCAUCAGCUAGUUGGUAAGGUAAUGGCUUACCAAGGCGAUGACGGGUAGGGGACCUGAGAGGGUGGCCCCCCACAAUGGAACUGAAACACGGUCCAUACACCUACGGGUGGCAGCAGUAGGGAAUAUUAGUAAUGGGCGAAAGCCUGAACUAGCAACGCCGCGUGUGCGAAGAAGGCCUUCGGGUCGUAAAGCACUUUUUGAGAGGAUGAGGAAGGACGGUACUCUCAGAAAUAAGUCCGUCGGUACUAACUAACGUCGCCAGCACGCCGACGGUAAACACUACUAUG